rnacentral:rRNA from 1 species
UACGUAGGGCGCAAGCGUUAUCCGGAAUUAUUGGGCGUAAAAGAGCUCGUAGGCGGUUUUGUUGCGUCGGCUGUGAAAAUCCCCGAGGCUCAACCUCGGGUCUGCAGUCGAUACGAGCAAACUAGAGUGUUGCAGGGGGGAGACUGGAAAUUCCUGGUGUAGCGGUGAAAAUGCGCAGAUAUCGGGGAAAGAAACACCCCCGUGGCGAAAGGCGGCUCUCUGGGGACGGUACUGACGCUGAGACGCGAAAA